UACGUAGGGGGGCGAGCGUUUGUCCGGAUUUAUUGGGCGUAAAGAGCUCGUAGGCGGUUUGGCAAGUCGGGUGUGAAAACCCAGGGCUCAACCCUGGGCCUGCAUUCGAUACGGGCAGACUAGAGUUCGGUAGGGGAGACUGGAAUUCCUGGUGUAACGGUGAAAUGCGCAGAUAUCAGGAGGAACACCGGUGGCGAAGGCGGGUCUCUGGGCCGAAACUGGACGCUGAGGAGCGAAAGCGUGGGUAGCAAACAGG
rnacentral:rRNA from 1 species